rnacentral:rRNA from 1 species
AUUGAACGCUGGCGGCAGGCCUAACACAUGCAAGUCGAGCGCGAAAAUUCCUUCGGGGAUGAGUAGAGCGGCGGACGGGUGAGUAACGCGUAGGAAUCUGCCCGGUAGUGGGGGACAACAGUCGGAAACGACUGCUAAUACCGCAUACGCCCUAAGGGGGAAAGCAGGGGAUCUUCGGACCUUGCGCUAUCGGAUGAGCCUGCGUCGGAUUAGCUUGUUGGUGGGGUAAUGGCCUACCAAGGCGACGAUCCGUAGCUGGUCUGAGAGGAUGAUCAGCCACACUGGGACUGAGACACGGCCCAGACUCCUACGGGAGGCAGCAGUGGGGAAUAUUGGACAAUGGGGGAAACCCUGAUCCAGCCAUGCCGCGUGUGUGAAGAAGGCCUCGGUUGUAAGUACGACUUACUAGUAGGUAGGAAAGGUAAGU